UACGGGGGGGAGCAAGCGUUGUUCGGAUUUACUGGGCGUAAAGGGCGCGUAGGCGGUCGUGACAAGUCACUUGUGAAAUCUCCGGGCUUAACUCGGAACGGUCAAGUGAUACUGUCGGACUAGAGUACAGAAGGGGCAACUGGAAUUCUCGGUGUAGCGGUGAAAUGCGCAGAUAUCGGGAGGAACACCAAUGGCGAAGGCAGCUCGCUGGGACGUGACUGACGCUGAGACGCGAAAGCGUGGGGAGCAAACAGG
rnacentral:rRNA from 1 species